rnacentral:rRNA from 1 species
AUGCUCGAGAAGGCCACGCUGCUCAAGAAGUCCAAGCUGGAGGGGCUCAGGCAGAAAGUUUCUUCCCCUGGGCUCCUGCCGGCGGCCGAACUCAUGGAGCUGGCGGCGAAGGAGCCGUCCCCUCUGCCUCGCCCGAACGUGCUGGAGCUGGCGGCAUCCGGGGGGCUGCUAAUCGCUUGGGACGACGCUAAUCUAGAGUGCACUAACGUUCAUCUAGACCGGUUCUUCAUCACGUGUUGGUUCUCCUUCCGGGCAACUGACGUUUCCUUCACUAUUACCAACGUAUAUGGGCCGUGCGAUCUUUCCCUUAAACAAGAAUUCUUGGACUCCCUAAUCCUUGCGUCGUCUACGAUUACUUGCCCCUGGCUGGUAUUCGGGGAUUUCAACCUUAUUCUUCGCCCAAGAGACAAAUCUUCCAACCACUUUAACUCUAACGAAGCUAGGCUAUUUGCUUCGGCCAUUAACUCCAUGCAGCUCCAAGAAAUCCCGCUCCUAGACCGUCUCUACACGUGGUCUAAUCAACAAGACAACCCUACUCUAGUCCGGCUAGAUAGGGCUUUCGUUAACAUGGCUUGGUCAUCGGUGUUCCCGGACUCCACGCUCUCUUCUUUGACAAGGACUACCUUGGAUCACGUCCCGAUUUUGUUACAUGCAUCCUCGGACAUACCAAAACCCUCAAUCUUCAGGCUUAAUAACUGUCUCCUGUCUAACCACUCGUUUCUGCAGCAAAUCUCAACCACCUGGUCUAGCGUGGGUCCUCGCCACUCCCAUUUGGGCAGCGCGGGCAAGCUUUGCCUAAAAUUAAAACGGUCUAGAAAUGUUGCGAAAAAGUGGGCAGUUAAUGCUAAAACCCCAAAGCGUCUGGCUACAAACUGCACUACAACCAUCGAUUUCCUCGACAAGCUGGAGGAGUUUAGACCCCUUUCAACUCUUGAGCUUAGUCUCCGAAUGGCG